UGGGAGACUCGGACCUUUCACUGGUAG
rnacentral:piRNA from 1 species